GAAACCAGAGCAUAACAUACACUAAAAUUGGAACAACAGAGAGAAGAUUAGCAUGGCUCCUGUGCAAGAAUGACAUGCAAAUUCAUGAAGCAUUCCAUAUUUUU